rnacentral:rRNA from 1 species
UUUAAAUUUAGAGUUUGAUCCUGGCUCAGGACGAACGCUGGCGGCGUGCUUAACACAUGCAAGUCGAGCGAUGAAGCUUCCUUCGGGAAGUGAAUUAGCGGCGGACGGGUGAGUAACACGUGGGUAACCUGCCUCAAAGUGGGGGAUAGCCUUCCGAAAGGAAGAUUAAUACCGCAUAAUAUGAGAGAAUCGCAUGAUUUUCUUAUCAAAGAUUUAUUGCUUUGAGAUGGACCCGCGGCGCAUUAGCUAGUUGGUAAGGUAACGGCUUACCAAGGCAACGAUGCGUAGCCGACCUGAGAGGGUGAUCGGCCACAUUGGAACUGAGACACGGUCCAGACUCCUACGGGAGGCAGCAGUGGGGAAUAUUGCGCAAUGGGGGAAACCCUGACGCAGCAACGCCGCGUGGGUGAUGAAGGUCUUCGGAUUGUAAAGCUCUGUUUUCUAGGACGAUAAUGACGGUACUAGAGGAGGAAGCCACGGCUAACUACGUGCCAGCAGCCGCGGUAAUACGUAGGUGGCGAGCGUUGUCCGGAUUUACUGGGCGUAAAGGGUGCGUAGGCGGAUGUUUAAGUGGGAUGUGAAAUCCCCGGGCUUAACCUGGGGGCUGCAUUCCAAACUGGAUAUAUCUAGAGUGCAGGAGAGGAAAGCGGAAUUCCUAGUGUAGCGGUGAAAUGCGUAGAGAUUAGGAAGAACACCAGUGGCGAAGGCGGCUUUCUGGACUGUAACUGACGCUGAGGCACGAAAGCGUGGGUAGCAAAACAGGAUUAGAUACCCUGGUAGUCCCACGCCGUAAACGAUGGAUACUAGGUGUAGGGGGUAUCAACUCCCCCUGUGCCGCAGUUAACACAAAUAAGUAUCCCGCCUGGGGAGUACGGUCGCAAGAUUAAAACUCAAAGGAAUUGACGGGGGCCCGCACAAGCAGCGGAGCAUGUGGUUUAAUUCGAAGCAACGCGAAGAACCUUACCUGGACUUGACAUCCCUUGCAUAGCCUAGAGAUAGGUGAAGCCCUUCGGGGCAAGGAGACAGGUGGUGCAUGGUUGUCGUCAGCUCGUGUCGUGAGAUGUUAGGUUAAGUCCUGCAACGAGCGCAACCCUUGUUAUUAGUUGCUACCAUUAAGUUGAGCACUCUAAUGAGACUGCCUGGGUAACCAGGAGGAAGGUGGGGAUGACGUCAAAUCAUCAUGCCCCUUAUGUCCAGGGCUACACACGUGCUACAAUGGUAGGUACAAUAAGACGCAAGACCGUGAGGUGGAGCAAAACUUAUAAAACCUAUCUCAGUUCGGAUUGUAGGCUGCAACUCGCCUACAUGAAGCUGGAGUUGCUAGUAAUCGCGAAUCAGAAUGUCGCGGUGAAUACGUUCCCGGGCCUUGUACACACCGCCCGUCACACCAUGAGAGCUGGUAACACCCGAAGUCCGUGAGGUAACCGUAAGGAACCAGCGGCCGAAGGUGGGAUUAGUGAUUGGGGUGAAGUCGUAACAAGGUAGCCGUAGGAGAACCUGCGGCUGGAUCACCUCCUUU